rnacentral:rRNA from 1 species
UACGGGGGGGGCAAGCGUUGUUCGGAAUUACUGGGCGUAAAGGGCUCGUAGGCGGCCAACUAAGUCGGACGUGAAAUCCCCAGGCUCAACCUGGGAACUGCGUCCGAUACUGGAUGGCUUGAAUCCGGGAGAGGGAUGCAGAAUUCCAGGUGUAGCGGUGAAAUGCGUAGAUAUCUGGAGGAAUACCGGUGGCGAAGGCGGCAGCCUGGACCGGCAUUGACGCUGAGGAGCGAAAGCCAGGGGAGCAAACGGG